rnacentral:rRNA from 1 species
AACGAACGCUGGCGGCAUGCCUAACACAUGCAAGUCGAACGAGACCUUCGGGUCUAGUGGCGCACGGGUGCGUACGCGUGGGAACCUGCCCUUAGGUUCGGAAUGACUCCCCGAAAGGGGUGCUAAUACCGGAUAAUGUCUUCGGACCAAAGAUUUAUCGCCUUUGGAUGGGCCCGCGUUGGAUUAGCUAGUUGGUAGGGUAAAAGCCUACCAAGGCGACGAUCCAUAGCUGGUCUGAGAGGAUGAUCAGCCACACUGGGACUGAGACACGGCCCAGACUCCUACGGGAGGCAGCAGUGGGGAAUAUUGGACAAUGGGCGAAAGCCUGAUCCAGCAAUGCCGCGUGAGUGAUGAAGGCCUUAGGGUUGUAAAGCUCUUUUACCCGGGAUGAUAAUGACAGUACCGGGAGAAUAAGCUCCGGCUAACUCCGUG